rnacentral:tRNA from 1 species
GCGCGGUUAGCUCAGCGGGAGAGCACUUCCCUGACACGGAAGAGGUCACUGGUUCAAUCCCAGUAUCGCGCA